UAAGCGGAGGAAAAGAAACUAACAAGGAUUCCCCUAGUAACGGCGAGUGAAGCGGGAAGAGCUCAAAUUUGAAAUCUGGUAGCCUUCGGUUGCCCGAGUUGUAAUCUAGAGAAGUGUUUUCCGUGCCGGCCCAUGUACAAGUCCCUUGGAACAGGGCGUCAUAGAGGGUGAGAAUCCCGUCCUUGACAUGGACCCCCGGUGCUUUGUGAUACACUUUCAACGAGUCGAGUUGUUUGGGAAUGCAGCUCAAAAUGGGUGGUGAAUUCCAUCUAAAGCUAAAUAUUGGCGAGAGACCGAUAGCGAACAAGUACCGUGAGGGAAAGAUGAAAAGCACUUUGGAAAGAGAGUUAAACAGUACGUGAAAUUGUUGAAAGGGAAACGAUUGAAGUCAGUCAUGCUCUUGGGACUUACCUCCCUUGAGUGGGGUCAACAUCAGUUUUGAUCGAUGGAUAAAGGCACGGGGAAGGUAGCACUCUCGGGUGAACUUAUAGCCUCGCGUCAUAUACAUUGAUUGGGACUGAGGAACGCAGCAUGCCUUUUGGCCGGGAUUCGUCCACGUACAUGCUUAGGAUGUUGACAUAAUGGCUUUAAACGACCCGUCUUGAAACAC
rnacentral:rRNA from 1 species